UGUUUGGGAGGAGCUGCGGGUCCUGCUGUGCAGCAGCUUGGCUGCGGGUGGGGGUGUGCGUGCUGAGGGGCAGGCAGUCCCAGAGCUGGCCACAAGGUGGGAUGGUCAUUCUAGUUCCUGAGGCAUGUUGAAUGGCACUUGCCAGCCACACGGUGUGCGCUUGUGUUGCUAUAGAGAUCAAGAGAGGGUGUUGGAUCCCUUGGAUCUGGAGUUCCAGGCAGUUGGGAGCUGCCGGAUGUGGGGGCCGGAAGCUGAACUCCAGCCCUCUGCCAGGGCAGAAGUUGCUUUCAACUCCGAGGCUUCUCUUCAGCUCCCAGUUACACUUUGAGAAUUUCAGAGAAAACAAAGGACAGCUCGAACAACAACGGUGUUGACAAUUUUGUUUCUCCUUGGUGUCCUACAUCCCACAUCUUCUUUCUUCCCCCUCUUCCUCUUCCUCGGGUGUGUGACUUCCUUCUUUCCUCUUUCUCCUGAGCUCGGAGGAAACUCAGCCUACAGUUCUGUUCCCUUGGGUCGCACUGUCUAGUCACAAUCAGAUUAUCUUCCCGUCAUAAAAUACCACUUGUAUCUAUUAUUUUCAUUGGCUCAGUACCUUGCCAGAUGGCUAUACCAUUGUUUCCUAAAUCAUCUCUCUGCUGUUGAUCAUUUCAGUGUGUUUGAAAUAUUUUUGCUUUAUAAAUAACAUGAUGAUGGAUGUGAGAA